rnacentral:lncRNA from 1 species
UGGGUGGGAAGGGGACAUGGAGAUUUCCCUGCAGGGUUCUGGACAGAAGUAAGAGUGAGCUCAGCUGACACUGUGUGAUUGGUAGGCCAGAGCAAGGAGGGGGCGUUAGGCCAAGCGUCUCUUCCCCUUGGUCGUUAGUCAGAGGGCCUCAGGGAGAAUCUCAGCCUUCCUGAUCUGAUAGAAUUCCGAGCCUCCUGCUGUAUAACUGAGUGAUUCUCUCCGCACAUGGUCAACAGCAGAUUUUUCUCAAGGUGAAAGCAAUUAGGCCUUCAUCCCUUCCUCCCCCUACCACUAGAAAGAAAAGGAAGAUGGAAGGGAAGCCGUCUUCGCUUCUGCCAAGGUCAGCCAGGGCACCCUGGCUUGUUCCAGUAAUUGGCUCCCCGACAUGCUCCUGCCUCUCACAGGCUGUCACGGUCUCAGGCAUUUUGGCGUCCCUCAGCGCUGAGGCAGUGAAGAGGGAAGGAGCUGCUGCUUUUACACUUCUCUCCAGAACAAGAGAGUGUGUCUCACCCUACCCUGAACAGGGAAUCAGAGGGAGCACUGUGAGCCGGACCUGGGCAGCGCGUGUAAGUGGGGCUGAGCUGCCCCUGCCGCUCUCUGGAAGAGUCAAAGCCAGGCAAGAGAAAACUCUUCAGAAGGUGGAAGAAUUCAUUCGUUUGGUUAACAGCUAUGCCAAGCACUUUGCUAGGAGUUCCUGGUCCCUGUUAUCUUGGGGCUGAGGAGAGCAGGAAACCAUGGAGAAACGUGAAAACUCAAAUGUGCCCCGAACCAGUCUCAACCCCCAAGUCAAGGAAUGCAAAAGCUAACCCUUCAGCAGCACUUACCGCACGGUGUUGUAGUUGCCGACUGGCACGUCCUCGCCGGGACAGAGUCUACAGGUGUUCACUGUCGGAUCCUCAGGCCCAUCGCGUGGCCGAGGUUCAUCAAGAAUUGUCGACUGAAGGAAC